UACCACCAGUGGCAGAGAGUGGGGGCCUGUGGCCAGAUGGGUUCUGCACCUAUCGGGUCUUAAGAUCCUGCCCACUCUGCAACUGUCGACAGAAACAAAGAGAUCAGGAUCAGGUGUGGAGCCGUGACAUGGCCCUGCCCAGCCACCCCUCUGGGGCUAGGAGGGAGCGAUCAGCUGGCCUACCCUGAAUCUGUCCUAGGGUUUGAAUGAAUCCUCUUUGUCCCCUACCAAGCACUGCAAGGAUUACGAAUCCCAUUUACAGAUGAGACACCUUGGGUUCAGGGCAUUUUGGUGACUGACUCCAGGUGUCCGAAGCCCCUGUUUAAUUUCAUCUUUGCCACCAAUGCUAGUCUACAGCACCUGGGAGUGGUAGGCAGAGGACAGUCUCCGAGGAGCCAUAGCCACAUAGCACUGAGGAUGGGCAGAGGGGGCAGUGGGGAGGGACGAGUCUCCAGCACCCAGCACAGGACUGAAUGUGCAGGUCCCCUCGAAGCCCCAGCUCCCUUCCUCCCAAACCACUCCCAGGGAUGCCAUGUCCCCUUCAAACACCCGUACCACCCCUAACACCCCUGCCCCAGCUCCUAUCACAUGGCCCCAAAUCCUCCCUGCUCCAUCGUCCACUUUUUAAGCAGUGAAGCUAAAAGGUUCUGGGAUUCAGAAUCCAAAACAAAGCCCUGGCUUCCACCUGUUGUACCCCUAAGUACCAACUGUGGUGUAGGCAAGCUUGGCAAACCUGUUUCCUCAUCUGCCAAAAGGCUGAAGAGGCCCGUGCCUCAGAGCGCCAGCUUGGAACCAGAGGUCCUGGAGCAGAGUCCUGGCUGCCCCCUUUCUCACUGCCAGACCUUGGCCAGGCCUCUUAGCUGGGGGCCUUAUGUUCUCUUGCCCAGAUGACCCAAGCCCCUCGAGGCUCCAGCUCUUCCCACAUCAGUCUGUCCUCACAGUGCCUCUGAUUCUCCUCCUAAAGCAUAAGUCUGAGAUCAUAGCACUCAUCUCAUUAAAAAUCUCAGUGUCCCCACCCCCUGACCACGAAGUCCUUUGUAGGGCAAACCUCCCCUUGGGACACCUGGAGACAGUCACUGAACUAUCAGGACCCCCCCUCCCUUGAAAACACCCUUCUACACACUUGCUCUUCCUAGAACAAUUUUAUUUGUCCCCAUGACCUGGUUCAAAGCCAUCAAACUCCCCUGGGUGACGAAGAGAAACCAGUCACCCUCCUCGGUCUCACCCCAGAGCACUUUGUAGGUUGGCCCCGCGUCACACACCGAGUGUGAGCACCCCGUGUCAGGGCCUGCGGUCCUCAUGUGUGUCUCUGGGAGAGCCCAGCCCGGCACAGUCAGUGGCACAUGGUGUGGCAGAAUCAACUAAGGCUCUGUGCACCAGUGACCUCACCCUCUCUCAUCCAGUAGCUGCAAUAUAUCCCAGCGAGGAAGAGUCCCUCAUCUAUAUCCCCAACUUACAGAUGAGUAAACUGAAACAUGAAGUGAAAUGACAUCUCAAGGACAGCAGAGAGUGUGUACAGGAGCCAGGAGGCCUAGGGGCUGAGGUUGGGCGUGGGGUUUGUGGAAAGUGGCCUCUCCAAGUCUCUUUCAACUCUGACAUUCUGGGGAUGAAGAUCCGGUAAGCAGCUCAUCACAGAGAAACCUACAGCCCGGUACCCAGACCGCCCCACCUGCCAUCAAGAAUCAACACCACGCACUCCACCCCCACCACUCCCAGCCCUGAGAGGGGCUCUGGCCAGCCCCGCAGGUCUCACCUGCUCUAGGCCGGAUGGGCCAGAGAAGGAGAACCAUGGCAGGAGCCGGAAGCAG
rnacentral:lncRNA from 10 species